GAUGAACGCUGGCGGCGUGCCUAAUACAUGCAAGUCGUACGGAAAGGCCCUUCGGGGUACUCGAGUGGCGGACGGCUGAGUAACGCGUGGGAACGUGCCCCAAAGUGAGGGAUAACGCACCGAAAGGUGUGCUAAUACCGCAUAUGGUCUUCGGAUUAAAGCUUCGGCGCUUUGGGAGCGGCCCGCGUACGAUUAGAUAGUUGGUGAGGGAAUGGCUCACCAAGUCGACGAUCGUUAGCUGGUCUGAGAGGAUGAUCAGCCAGACUGGGACUGGGACACGGCCCAGACUCCUACGGGAGGCAGCAGUAAGAAUCUUCCACAAUGGGGGCAACCCUGAUGGAGCAACGCCGCGUGCAGGAUGAAGGUUUUCGGAUCGUAAACUGCUUUUAUAAGUGAAGAAUAUGACGGUAACUUAUGAAUAAGGAUCGGCUAACUACGUGCCAGCCGCCGCAGUAA
rnacentral:rRNA from 1 species